UUUUCUUUUCGUCAUUGAUAUUUUACAUAACAAAUUUUGAUUUGCUACUUACAAAUAUGAACCGCUAUAUGCGUGCAUAAAUUAGCUUCAGUUUCAUGUCAAUUUAAAAGAGUCGGCAGUGUUGGUAAUUUGGUGAUUGAUCAAUGAAGGAAAGUUCCCCACAAGAAAAAAUGAAGGAAAGUUGCAGGUAAAAGAAUGUCGUGGAAGGCGUUUUUCUCGUACAGGUCGCCCAUGACGUGAGAAUCCUACUUGGUGGAAAGUCAUCGGUGUGCUUCUCUCCCUUCUGUAAUUUUUACCACGAGCUCUUUUACGGUACUCUGGUACUCUAAAAUAGAACAGGGAGUACCAAUUAAAUUCAACCAUCGAUUCUAAGGGGUAUUAUUGACCUUUUGUGUUGCUAUAAAAUUUUCCCCAAAAGAAAAUCUUUUUUCCCGAAAAAAAUCUUUCUAUUAAUAAAUCUUCCAGUCUAUUUCGUUGACGAUGAAAAAAAAUCCUUUGAUCCAAUCUAUUAACGCCGCCGGCGUUGCAAUCACGUGGCUCUCCCCUUGGAACGCCGUCAAGGGAUCUUUUCCGUAUCCGUCUCAACUACUGACCCGCCCUCUCUUCAGCGCACCAAUCAUCCUCUCCUCAGGGCUAAUUAUCUUCCUGAUGCUCGGCCGCCACACCGCCGAUGGUUUCUCCACUUCGCUCGUAGCACUGCUGAUGUAUCAGGCAAUUCCACCUCUAUCCGUCUCGAUCCCUUUCUCCAUGUGUGCAUAUCUUCGAUCACUGAGAUUGGUCCUUAAUUUGAACAAAAUCCGGUAUAGUUACUUGAGUGUUAAUAAGACCUUCCUAGAUUGAAGACAACGAACUUGCAAAAAAGAACACAACGCCGGCAGAUGCAUGUAGAUCUUGUGCAUUGAAUCCAUACGAGCAGCCAUUCGAGCACGUAGAAACAAUAUCCAGUCAAAUCUGUUAUUCCUAUUCGCAAAAAAAAAUGGUGUAUUCCAAAAAGAAAUCAGAUCCUUUAAGGUAACUGUUCGAUCCGAAUAUUUGGCGCACGCUAUUUGUCAUCUUCUGUUACGUUUUCUAUUUUACGUAUCUGCUGUUACGAUUUUACGCUUUUUUUUGCAGGGGUUAUGAUUUUACCCUUGAACUGGAGGUACUCCUUAACACUUGGUACUAGUACUCCCUAACACUCGCGCUGGAGUACCAAUAAGCAACAUCCGUUGGAUUAAAGAAAAUCGACGAUCUGUGUCGAUUUAAGGGUACUGUAAAAGAGCUCUUUACCAAUACAUGCGAGAUUCCGUGAUUUUACCACGGAAGAGAAAUUGAGCAGUUGCAUAUGUUGAUCAGGUCAUUUAGGACUUGAAUUAGUCAUUGCUGGACGUCAGUUUGGAAGAUAGACUUCGCUUAAUUGUUCCCUUUCCCUUGUCUACUGUUUUGAUCCAUGCCCAAUCAUGGCAGAUUACACAUGGCAAAGCAAGCUAUAGUGUCUAUUUUGGCAACCAUAUGUGUAUGUGACUUGUGUUUCGUAGUCCCUUUAACUACACUGUACUUCUACUGCCUCUUAUCUUUUACAGUUGUGGUGACAAUCUAAUGGGAAUAAGCGCCAGGGACGAGGAGAGGUGGAGACUUGAGGUAACUGCUAUAGCGGUGGUAGGAUCUUGCAUGGAGAAUAGCAGGAGUAAUGUUUGAAUCCUACUAUAGGCAGUGCCUUGCGAAUGGCUGCGACGGCGGGCGGAUAUUUGAGUUCAUUGUGGUAUGCACGAUGGAUGUGUGGUCCGUGGAGUGAAGAUCCAUCUGGCAUGAAUUUUUUCGUUCUUCUGUUGGCAAGUAAUCCUAAGACUUUUUUUCCGGGUGAAUCCUAAAACUAAUUACCCUACACAAUUUACAGUUUUUAUAUUCUUAUGGCACCUAAGUAUAUCUGUAAUUGAAAAAAUGUUCAGAGUUUCCUGUAUGAAGGGCGCGUAUAAAUGUUAUUCAGUUUUAUUUGUAGAGGUGCUUG
rnacentral:lncRNA from 1 species